rnacentral:tRNA from 2 species
UGGGGCGUCGCCAAGCGGAAAGGCAGCGGCCUUUGGAGCCGCGAUUCGAAGGUUCGAAUCCUUCCGCCCCAGCCA